AGGAUCUUUCCAAUAAUGAAAAUUGGAAAAAACAUAGCCUCAAACUAUGUAAUAGGGUUUUCAAAAUGCAGGCAUUCUCUCCAUACAAGAUUGACAAGUACCACAUCACGAACAAACGUUUACAACAGAUAUAGAAGUGACAAUAAACAAGUUUUUCAAGAUUUACAAUGAACAGCGUGAUUUGGCUUCUUGCUCUAAAAUAGAAACAUCUGCAGCACUAACUUGGGGACAAUCCCACCAAUUCAAUGACAAUGGACAUAUUUUCUACCCUUCACUCCUUUGCGGCUACCAAUCCUUCAGUAAUCUGAACACAACAUCAGUAAUGCCAAGGCAAAUACCAUGAUACUUUGUUCAUGAUCAUCUCCUUAUCGAAGAAGUAAAUGUAAAACUGGCCUGCAAGAUAAAAGCAUUUCCCGAAUGUACAACCUGGAAUCGUCGGUGCUCUUAAUAUUCAGUUAUUGGUAAUACUGCAGGAUGAAAUAUAGUGCAAACUCUUAUAAAUUUUAAUACAUUCAACAACUAAGAUUUUGAGCCAUGAGAUUAUAUGCCAAUAGUUACAUUUAAGCUUAUUAGAGCAUAUAUCAAUCAUAAAAAGGUAGAAAGAAUAAGCUUCGGGACACAAUAAGGGCUUAAACUACUUAUUUGAAAACAGUGAAACAACUCAUUAAAUCUAACUAAUUUUAAAUGAUCCAGUUUUAAGGAUUAAUACAGUACAACUAAGAGAAGGCUAUAUCAUCAAUCAAGAAGAUUCCACCGUAUAAACUUGACAAUUAGAGACAACUGUCACUGCUCCGUCACAUACCAUGGUCGACAUGAGCAAUGACAGGCAUGUUAUGGAUAUUUUUUAUCCAUAAUUCCGCGGAGCUCCUCCGUUCUAAACUUCACCAUCUUGACUGCUUUUGAAUGUCAGACGGGAAUACCAUUCCUUCUCUAAUAAUAGCAAGCUAUCAGAACCAAGCAAUAAUAUAGUGUGAAUAACUGAACAUGGAAAGCGACAGUAAUAUAUUAACGAUCCUUUAAAGUAAUUAAGACCACAAUUGUCUACUCAAAGAAAAGUAUAGGAUUGAAAGCCAUAUCCCGAAGGGGUGUAUACUAAAGCAAAAUUUACCAAUCAACGGAUAGUGACUAAUAUUAUAUCAUUAGGUGAUACCUUAAGUUCCCCUCUGAAAAUGUUCUCAAUCUCAACAUUGUAUUACACAAUGAACGCCCAGAUAGAUUUGAUGAAGCUUCGAUUCUGUACUGGGAUAGAGAUGGAAUAUAUUUAUCUUGCUCAAAUAUAAAUCCAGAAAGUUAGAAAAAUUAAUAGAAGGACUGCACAAAAAUACGAAAGAACCAAUACAGCUGAUAGGUGCCUUUUCUCCAUAUAUGAUAUACCUGAGCAUGUAACCUAUUUUUCUACAAGAUCUCUUUGCCUUUCUAAUGAUAAUUUCAAGAUUCAAAUAUCAGAUAUCGUGCUCACAGAUUUGGUGUAGACUGUAGAAAGUGUGAUAUGACCAGAAUAUCAGCUGGCAUGCUCAAUAUUGGGGCUGAUAUGACCAGAAUAUCAGUCGGUAUGCUCAAUACUGGGGCUGAUAUGACCAAAAUAUAGACCAUACUUGAUAUAAGCAGACAGCCAACACUUUAUGCGCAUCCACAUAUACUUGCAAAAAAGAAAGUUAAUUGCUCCUUUACUAUUUGUAUGCAUCCAUAGUUCCACACAUACACUCAUUAGAAAAACAGAGAACACUAAUUACUCCUCUAGCUUCUCUAGAACAUAAGAAACAACAGCUAAAAUUUGAUCCAGUGGAACCUAGGGCCAGUUCUUUUGGGCAAUUCUCCCAGAAUUGACCCCCUCCCCAGCUUCUCCCAGAAUUGCCACUUAAUAUUUUUUUACAAUUCCUAGCUAGUUAAGGUCUAAUUAGCUAGGAAUUGUAAAAAAAUAUUAAGUGGCAAUUCUGGGAGAAGCUGGGGAGGGGGUUAAUUCUGGGAGAAUUGCCCAAAAGAACUGGCCCCUAACACCAGCCCCAACAUAAAGGAAUAUAAACAAAGGAAGGGAAGACACCUUUGUAUCAUCUAGUGAUCUGGACAUGUAGUAGACCCAACAUUAAGGAAUACCCAAAGAUAAAUGACAACUUGGGCAGCAGCAUCCUGCACUAUGGUUGUGGUCAUGAGGAGAUCAUAGAGAUAAAAACGAAUUGUCAAGCUUUCCACCCAUACUUGACAAGCACCUAAAAAGAUGGAGUUGACAUCAGCCAUAAAUCACAAGUUCGAAGCAAAGAAAGACAAUUCCUACAAAACAAGCUAGUGUUUUCAAAUUAAGUUUGGUAGUGCACGAAACUUCUUAAAUCAUCAGGAAAUAAGCAUCGAAAUAUUGCUCACUUCAAGAUGCUGCAAGUAAAGAACUAUAGUUUUGAAUAUGAUGACAACACAAUAGAACUUCAAUUAAAGAUAAUAAUGCAAAGCACACCUCCACGUGAUUGUCUGGGUGAGCGCUUUUCGGGUGGGCAGAAAACAACUUUGUGAUGACAACACAUACACACGACAAAAUGGGUGGCUUGUUAGGAAGUAGGGACACUUUGAAUACAUUAAAAAAUUCAAAUCAAGCGCUUGAAAGGCCAAAUAAUGGUGCAAGGUAACUCACUGUAUAUCAUCAGUUCUUCAAAUAAUAGAUCUAUAGAGCAACGAACAAAUCCAGAACCACAACUCCUGAUAACGCCAAUAUGCCAUAUACAACCAUGGAAAAACCUGCAGUAGUAGAAAUACCGUCAUAUAUUGUCUGUUUAGAGAAACCUACUCGAGAGUGGUAAUCUCUAGCAGUUAUUUACCUAUAGUACUCGCAUCGAUAUCCAUGAGCCAAAAAGGUGAAGAGAUAAAUUGAUUUUAGCGGGGACUAAUUGGCAAGAUGAUGUAUCUGCCAUACAUACAACAACUACAUACACUUGCAUGGAUUGUAUGCCGUCCCAACUUGAAACGGAUGCCCAUGCCAGGCACCAGAUCAAGCAAAGGAAUAAAAGACUCCUCUAUAAAGAGGAAAGGAACUCCAGGAUGUUUCUUCAUGGCAGUCAUGUUUGUUAUGCUUCAUACAUGUUGCAAAUACAUGUAUGAUCAUAGCUGACCAAAUUUAUUUAAUAGGUAAUGUGUGAUCAAAAUGGUGUUAGCAAGGGGUCUGGCGUUGUUGCAUUGUUCUACCUAUGAGGAAGCAUCUCAACGCUGAGCUGUGUCGAUGUCUCACAUAGUAUCGUGCUGGCCAAUAUGUAGAGGAUAGUAACAGCCUACAAACACCAUCCUUUUAUCCGUGAUCUUUCCUAGAGAUUCACAUGAUAUUUUUUUUCACUUUGUGUUGUUGUAAGUUCCAGUUUUCCUAUGACGCACAUUCUACUAAUUUACUCUCUCAAGACCCUGGUUGAUGCGUUUGUACCAGUUGAUACAUGCAUGUUGCUUUCCUGUUUUCUUGGUGCCUAAAAGAUUAUAUAUGCAAAUAUCCUAUUCGUUUCGAAGAAACUGAAAACCCUGCUCAUCUCAGCUUUUUGAUCGGCUGGAAGUUUUCAGAUAUAUGUCUUACCAAUUGCUAAGUCAUAUUCAAUAUUGAUUUAUCCCAACAAAAACUUAGAUAAUUUGAUUAAGUGCAACUGGACAUGAUCUACCAGGUGUAGUUUUUGUGAUCGGGACGAUCCGAGAGCAUCUCCUGGGCAGUAACAAACAAAAAUCCACUUUGCAGAAACUUAGCUGAGGCACCCAACAAACUUUCAAAGACAACAACAUUUCUACAUGGAAGCCUAGCUAGAUCUCAGCAUCUGGUGAACUGGAAGAAAAAAAAUCCCCUUUAUAGGAACCUAGCUAGACAUGAACAUCUCCUUGACAAGAAGGGUGAAGAAGCUUACCCAACAGAAGAGCCAGAGCACAAACCCGGCACAAUCACCAUGCAUCCUUGGAUCCACCGCUAGCAUGCUCAUUUUCGUCAGGAUCUCCUAUUUUCCCUCCAAAUCUGUCCGUGGCUGAGCACCAUGGAAGGACAAGCCCC
rnacentral:lncRNA from 1 species